rfam:Schistosoma haematobium scaffold634_3, whole genome shotgun sequence.
GCACUGCUGAAGGGUCCCGUACUGGGACGAAACGGCCGUCCAGUGC